UGGGGAAUAUUGCACAAUGGGCGCAAGCCUGAUGCAGCCAUGCCGCGUGUGGGAAGAAGGCCUUCGGGUUGUAAAGCACUUUCAGCGGGGAGGAAGGCGAUAAGGUUAAUAACCUUGUCGAUUGACGUUACCCGCAGAAGAAGCACCGGCUAACUCCGUGCCAGCAGCCGCGGUAAUACGGAGGGUGCAAGCGUUAAUCGGAAUUACUGGGCGUAAAGCGCACGCAGGCGGUUUGUUAAGUCAGAUGUGAAAUCCCCGGGCUCAACCUGGUAACUGCAUCUGAUACUGGCAAGCUUGAGUCUCGUAGAGGGGGGUGGAAUUCCAGGUGUAGCGGUGACAUGCGUAGGGAUCUGGAGGAAUACCGGUGGCGAAGGCGGCCCCCUGGACGGAGACUGACGCUCAGGUGCGAAAGCGUGGGGAGCAAACAGG
rnacentral:rRNA from 1 species